GACGAACGCUGGCGGCGUGCCUAAUACAUGCAAGUAGGACGCAGUUGCGAACGUGUGAGUAACGCGUAGGUAACUACCUAUUAGAGGGGGCUAACUAUUGGAAACGAUAGCUAAUACCGUCUACUAGUAGAUGGACCUGCGUUGUAUUAGCUAGUAGGUAGGGUAAUGGCCUACCUAGGCAAAGAUACAUAGCCGACCUUGGAGGGUGAAAGGCCACACUGGGACGUAGAAACGGCCCAGACCCCUACGGGAGGCAGCAGUAGGGAAUCUUCGGCAAUGGGGGGAACCCUUACCGAGCAAAGCCGCGGGAGUGAAGAAGGGUUUCGGAUCGUAAAGCUACGUUGUUAAGGAAGCGGUACUUAAACAGAAAGGGACGGCUAACUACGUGCCAGCAGCCGCGGUAAUAC
rnacentral:rRNA from 1 species